AUUGAACGCUGGCGGCAGGCCUAACACAUGCAAGUCGAGCGGCAGCGGGAAAGUAGCUUGCUACUUUUGCCGGCGAGCGGCGGACGGGUGAGUAAUGCCUGGGAAAUUGCCCAGUCGAGGGGGAUAACAGUUGGAAACGACUGCUAAUACCGCAUACGCCCUACGGGGGAAAGCAGGGGACCUUCGGGCCUUGCGCGAUUGGAUAUGCCCGGGUGGGAUUAGCUAGUUGGUGAGGUAAUGGCUCACCAAGGCGACGAUCCCUAGCUGGUCUGAGAGGAUGAUCAGCCACACUGGAACGGAGACACGGUCCAGACUCCUACGGGAGGCAGCAGUGGGGAAUAUUGCACAAUGGGGGAAACCCUGAUGCAGCCAUGCCGCGUGUGUGAAGAAGGCCUUCGGGUUGUAAAGCACUUUCAGCGAGGAGGAAAGGUUGAUGCCUAAUACGUAUCAACUGUGACGUUACUCGCAGAAGAAGCACCGGUUAACUCCGUGCCAGCCGCCGCCGUAAAAC
rnacentral:rRNA from 1 species